CCUAUUUUAAUGAAAACAGAAAACUUGUGUUACAAAAAAAAAAAAAAAAAAUGAAAACAAAAGACGUCAUCGUCUCUUCCAGACCCACGAUUUCAAUUUCAGUAAAGAUCUGAUUGUGUUCAAUCCUUUGUUCGGUGAUUAGGCUGUUGGGUUGUUCGAUCUCGAUUCAACUCUGAAGCUCUGAAGCUACAGCGUCAAUUUCUAAAGAGCAGCGGCAUCACCCACAAAGGAUCAUCGACCAGAGCAGCAGCUAAACCUCCAUAAGCAGUGUCAUAUCCAUCACAUUCCGGAUCUUAUCAGAGCCAACAGCUGGAGUUGAGUGCAAUCUCUCUGGCCACUUGGGAGGGUACGCAUCAGGGUCCGAGCUCGCUAAGGCUUUCUUCGAUCAUAGAGACAGUGCUGAGUUGCUUGGCCCUUGUUUUGUUCUGAGUUGCUUGGCCCUUGUUUUGUUCUCUUCUUAUCAGGGGGCAUAACAAUUCAAGUACAUUAUAUUUUGGUGCAAGUCUUAAGUAGAAGAACAUCAUCACUAUUAUAUAGUUUGAGCUUCUGUUGGGUCUUUGAAGCUCUGAAGCUUUUCAUCAUCAUCUCCUCGCUUCCUCCUCGUUUCCGGGAAUCUUCUCGUGACUUUGUUUCUUUGAAGGAGCCUCUUUGUUGUUUCUUGAAGAAAGACAGUGCACCCAGAAGCUGAGUAUAUGCCUUGAGUCUUGAUCAUCACAAGUUAAAGGGACCUUAUAUAAAUUUUAUUGCUGAUUAGAGUAUCCCUCUCCUGCAUAACGUUUCUGUAUUCCCUUGCUAUCGCAGAGUGCUUCAUAACAAUGCUUUAUAUGACUCAAUACCUUUGUUUUUCAAAACUGAAGCUUGAUAUUGAUGAAUAAUGAAACCUUUUUAUCGUUA